GCAGUGGUGGUUCAGUGGUAGAACUCUUGCCUUUCAUGAAGGACACCUGGAUCUGAUUCCUGGCCAAUGCA
rnacentral:tRNA from 1 species